ACAGCAGCCGCCACGGUAAUACGUAGGGUGCAAGCGUUAAUCGGAAUUACUGGGCGUAAAGCGUGCGCAGGCGGUUUGUUAAGACAGAUGUGAAAUCCCCGGGCUCAACCUGGGAACUGCAUUUGUGACUGGCAAGCUAGAGUGUGGCAGAGGGGGGUGGGAUUCCGCGUGUAGCAGUGAAAUGCGUAGAUAUGCGGAGGAACACCGAUGGCGAAGGCAGCCCCCUGGGCCAACACUGACGCUCAUGCACGAAAGCGUGGGGAGCAAACAGGAUUAGAUACCCCCGUAGUCCCUGUCUCUUAUAC
rnacentral:rRNA from 1 species